rnacentral:lncRNA from 1 species
UUUUUUUUUUUUUUUUUUUUUUGUCUUUUUGCUAUUUCUUGGGCCGCUCCCGCGGCAUAUGGAGGUUCCCAGGCUAGGGGUUGAAUCGGAGCUGUAGCCACCGGCCUACGCCAGAGCCACAGCAACACGGGAUCCGAGCCACGUCUGCAACCUACACCUCAGCUCACGCCAACGCCGGAUCGUUAACCCACUGAGCAAGGGCGGGGACUGAAACCGCAACCUCAUGGUUCCUUGUCCUAUUCGUUAACCACUGAGCCACGACGGGAACUCCAGAUUCCUUUUAUCUUAACCUUUAGAUGUGAUAUGUAGAUUUACCUUGCAGAACAGAGCAUAUACAUUUCUCAUUGGUCUACAACUCUGUGCCUUUACUUUUGUCAAGUGAAAACAAUAAACUAGAUUAAUGUACAUUUUCUUCUUUGUAGUGUUUCCCGUUGUCAAACAUGGAGCCCUUCUUUUUUAAAUGGUUGGCGCAAUGGUUGACUCUGUUUUGAAGCUUGUAUUUAAGAAAGUAUUUUAAAAGAAUGAAGUUCAUGCUGUUAACAUUCUUAGAAAUCAGUCCUCAAAGACCAUUGCACCACUUGUCAAUCUAGCAGACACUGCAGUGUAACAACAAAGACCAUGAAAGUUGCUUGUAAACUGCUUUGAGAUGGAGUAGUUUACUUUCUCAACAGAUGAGAACAGAGGCUUUUUUUUUUUUUUUAACAAAAUGAAGUCCAAUUUUAUAAAGCUAUCUGAAUCUUCUUAACUGCUUUCUUUAAACACCUAUAGUAAAAUCUUUCAUGUAAAUUUCAUUAAGCUUCAAGGUCAUUUAGGAGAAAAUGGUAAGCCUAUCAAUGACAGGAGUGCUGUGCAUUCAGUGGAGGUGUUUGUCUAUCAAAUGGAUACUUGUUAAGACAAUAGACUCAGGCGUUCAUGCCUGUUAUUACUAGUAUAUUGGGAAAGAGAUCAUAAUUUAACAUAUAGUCUCUCUCUUUCCUGCCUAAGAGCAACUCUACCAUACAAUAUGUACUUGAAGUCACUAUGGUUAUUUUUACUUUUUUACUUUAUUUUAUUUUUAAAUUAAAAAGAGAAGAGAGAUAGAAAAUAAUAUAUUAUUCCUUUGACUUUAAUCUUAUCUCAAUGUCUAGGAUUGUCCCAAAAAUUUUGUGAGAGAAAUAUAUAAUUAAGCCAAGAUUGGACUUUAUAUUAGAAGGAUAUUUUUAUAAGUAUUAAAAUUAUAGACUUUCACAAUCUGUACUUAUUGUUUUCAUAAUAUCUAUUUACAGUUUUGAGACUAAUAUCCACAGCAGAGAAAAGUAUUUGAAAAGGAAGAUAUUGUUUUCCUUCUUUUUUAAAAUUUCUGAAAUGUAACCAAUUAUAAAAGGGCAAUAAUCUAAGUUUUUGCUUAAUUAUUUUCAUACAUGCAUCUCAAAAAAUGUUGCAAUGGCUUAAUUAUACAUAUGAAUAUGCACUGAUACAGACUGAAAUUCUAUUAUGCAGACGACAAGAUAUAGAAUUUUUAAAUACUGAUGAAUUUCACAUAUAAUUUAAUUGUGCAAUUUACUGGAAUUAUAAUUAUGAUCGCAGAAAAGGAAGAUUCUCUUCAAGUAAGUAAAUAAUUAGUAUUGUCAAUAAACUUGUAAAUAGUGUGCCAUGUGAGCUUGUUAGUUGGUGUAACUUGCUGAUAAUUGUGACUGCUAUAUAUAAUUUUGAAAACACAUUGCUAAUAGAAGAUAAUCUCUACACCGAAGUAAACAAAAUCAUUUUAAGUCAAAAUAAUGAACAAUACAAAAAUUGUACUUUGUAUUGAGGUGAUCUGAUUUGAUGCAUCUCAGAGACAAAAGGAUGCUAUGAUGAAAUUUUUAUUAGCCUGAAUGCUCUAGAAUAGCUGUGUAUAGUUAAUUAUGCUUUGGAUUGAGAGUUAAUUGGCAUAGCUCUUGUUUCAAUUAUUUAUCAAUUUUCCUUAAAAACUUUAGAUGAUUUUUACUUUAGUAAAUAAAAUAUAGUAAAACAUACUGAGCAACAUGAUUUUUAGCUAAAUUUAUUUUUUAAACAUAAAUUGAAUUUGUUCUAUGUUAUAGUAUAGUUUCAAGAUUAGAAAUGCAAAAAUGAAUAAAUCCUAACUUUCUAAGAACAGUGUCUUAAUAGAUGCAUCAGAAAUUUUUUUUAUUCAUUUUAAUUUAAUUUAAUUUUUUCUUUUUGGGGCUGCACUUGCAGCAUAUGGAAGUUCCCAGGCUAGGUAUUGAAUUGGAGCUGCAGCUGUAGUCCUAUGCCAUAACCAGAGCAAGGAGGGAUCCAAGCUUCAUCUGCAACCUAUGCCAUAGCUUGUGGCAGUGGAUCCUUAACCCACUGAGUGAGGCCAGGGAUCAAACCCACAUCCUCAUGGACACUAUGUUGGGUUCUUAACCUGCUGAGCCACAACAAGAACUCCACCAUCAGAAAUGCUGACAAUAACUAUACAAUAUGCAUGGGCCAAAAUAGUUGUUACUAAACUUUUUAAUCUUUGAAAAUCUAAUAGGUAAAAAUGAUAUUCAUUGUAUUUUAAUAUUUAUUUAUUAGAACAUGUUUGAUCAUUUUCAUCUUUUAAAGGUCCAUUUGUAAUGCUUGUGAUGUGAUCUAUAUUUUCAUAUCCAUUGUUCACUUUCUCAUUUGGCUCAUUUGGUUUUUUUCUUAGUGAUAACUGUUAAAUAACUGUAACUCCUCCUGCAGCCCUUUGGUAAUCAUCAAGCCAAGCCAAGUAAUUCAGGAUAAUCUUUCUAUCUCAAGGUCCUUAAUUUAAUCACAUAUGAAGUCCUUUUUGCCCAGUAAGGAACAUAUACAUGAGUUACUGGGAUUAGAAUGUGGACAUCUUUGAGGGUCAUUAUGUAGUUUACCACAGGGUACAAGAGGCCAACAAAUGAUCAGUCACAAGAUUAAAAAUACAUUCCAUAGGAGUUCCCAUUGUGGUGAAGUGGAAACAAAUCUGACUAGGAACCCUGAGGUUGCAGAUUCAAUGCCUGGCCACUCUCAGUGGGGAAAGGACCCGGCAUUGCCAUGAGCUAUGGUGUAGGUCGCAGAUGCAGCUCGGAUCUGGCCUUGCUGUGGCUGUGGUGUAGGCUGGCAGCUGUAGCUCUGACUAGACCCUAACCUGGGAACCUCCAUAUGCUGCAGGUGCAGUCCAAGAAAGCAAACAAACCAACAAAAAAAUACAUUCCCUAGAAGUAGGAGGAUGGAAACUUAUAAAAAAUAGGAGCACCUGAAGAAACUCAGAAGUCCAUUUUUACACACACAUAUAUGUGUAGACAUAAAAUAUUUUUCCAAUUAAGCAAUUAAGUAGGAUAUUGGAGGGAGAGAUUAUUACAUUGGAGACCAAAUUCAGGCCCUGGAAUGUCAAGGGCAAAAAUAAACAGUGAUGGAAAUCCUGAAGGAUAAUAGAGAGUAGGAUAGAUUCAGAAAAGUCAUAAUAAAAAUGAUAGGCAUUCCAGAAGAAAUAACAGAUGGAAGAAAGGCUAUAGUUACAUAAUAGGAGAAUAUUCAUCUGUGAUGAAAAAAGACCAGCAUCUGCAGACCUAGAGGACUUGCUAAGCUCCAGCUGUAUUGGUAGGAAAAGACACAUUACUUGGCACAUCCUGUAAACCUUCCAAAUGAUGGACACAAAGGAAAAAAC